rnacentral:rRNA from 1 species
UACGAAGGGGGCUAGCGUUGCUCGGAAUCACUGGGCGUAAAGCGCACGUAGGCGGCUUUCUAAGUCAGGGGUGAAAUCCUGGAGCUCAACUCCAGAACUGCCUUUGAUACUGGAGAGCUUGAGUCCGGGAGAGGUGAGUGGAACUCCGAGUGUAGAGGUGAAAUUCGUAGAUAUCGAGAGGAACACCGGUGGCGAAGGCGGCGAUCUGGACGAUGACUGACGCUGAGACGCGAAAGCGUGGGGAGCAAACAGG